rnacentral:lncRNA from 1 species
AAUAUUUAGGAUAUAGUCAAUGAGCUAUUUCUAUUUUGGGCUUGGUCAAUGAGUGUUAAAUUUUGUUUUGUUAAAGGUCAAUGGGCCUAAACUAAAGCAAUGGAGCCUGUUCAAUUUGUACUUAAAAGGACCUUUUUACCAUUUUUACUAUUUAGCUCGUAUUUUCUUUUUUAAACAUCUCAAUUGGUUCUCGUGUUUUUUUAUAUGUUUGAGCGCUCUCUGCUAUUUCGCUUUGGUCUUUUUCUUCAUUCUUUGAUUUUUGUUAGAGUAAUGCUACACUUACCACAUUUAUAUCCCAUAUUUUUAUAUCAUAUAAUGUAGCAUGUACAUAUCAUAUGUCACAUUAAUUAAAUCAAUUAAGUGUAUCUAUAUAUAUAAAGCAAAAAGUAGAGAAUGGUAAAACAUUCAAAAUACCAGAAAAUGUCAUUGGUUAAUGUAAACAUUAAGAAUUGAAAUUAUUAAUUAAAUGAGGAUAAUAUGAUAAAUUCUCACUUUUUCAUAUUUAAAAAAUUAAAAU